UUCUUAUCUCCGUAACUGUAACACAUCUGAUUUACAUACAAUAGUUGCGGCCCAGUAACACUGUCCGCAGUUCGUAAGGUAUCGAGAUAUUUAUCCUUAGUACUUUCUGUUGUGUACUUUCGGUUGUGUUUGCUCUGUCACACUGCCACCAGCGGUCCUCGUGUGCCCUAUCACUGUGUUGGGUCAUAGUGUUUUGUCUGUGUGGCCGCCAGGAGCGUCAAAUGCAGUCGGCGCUACGGCUGGCCGUGUCAGCGACCCACCUGCUCGGCCACGGCCAACAGGCAGCCGGCUCCGACGUCAAGUAGGCGCUACGGUUCCUGACGCCAGCAGGAGCACUUGACCAGCAGCUCACCGCCACCGCACAGGACCUGGCACAGCUCGGCACAGGCAUGCACAUUGACCCAGCAGUGGUGCAAGAAUGCGAAUGGCAAGCUCUGCACUGAUUCCUCCGUUUUUAGCAUUAGUGUUUCGCGUAACUUUCCGUUAAACGGACGGGGCCGCCGCCGGCCCCGGCCGCCGCCGUGCGAGUCGGCCGCCGCGCCGCUACGGACGACUGGCACACGCCACAAGUGUGAUGGAUUUUCGGCCAACGCGGCGACACCGGCGUAGCGUUCAAUUGGCCGCGCUGCCCUGACGCUCCGGUGACGGACAGGUGGACCGAGGGCGCCGCCCGCCCAUCCCUCCGGACCAGGCCAGGCCGGCCGAUCUGAGGGAGGUAGGGAGGAGCCGCGUGGCUGGCCGAAUGGACGGCCGCGCCGGGCCAUUGUCACUGAUUGUUGGCCAUUGUCACUGAUUGUUCAUUGCCGCACCGAGGUCCGGCGAUGUCACCGGAAUGCCGCCACUGGUUUGAGUUUCCGCGAAACCGGCUUGCCCAGAGAUGUUUGUCACUGGCAUUGCUAUGUGCUAUUUGUGAUGUUCAUAUAUACCAUUCCCGUUACGGAGUACAUAUCUUGUUUUGAACGUUAAGUUCCGAUAUACGAACUGGCCGUCUGAAAAAGAGCCGCACGUGCACGAUGCUUGUAGAUAUUCCUGACGACCACGAACCGACCACGAAUCAGAACUGCGCCUCUCGUAAUGGGAGUGCGAGUAGUUGUUGCGAGUUAGAGCUCCUUGGCGAGUGGCUGACUCUGAACUGACUGACUAAACACCGGUUAGCUGUUUCACCAGCAGUCCCAGUGGAGGGAAGUAGGCCCAGGCGAGCAGGGUGUCGCAGCGUAAGUCCGACGAUGGCGGCGCAGUAGUCGAAUGGCGUCCACAUUUAGCCGACGAAGGCUGCGCUGAGCGCCAUACCCGCCUCACCUUAUCUCCGAGUCACGUGUUCAUGACUGACACGGGCAACCAUACGGCCCGUCGUUGCCCACGCGCACCCCAGACGGGGCCGCCAGUCGCGGCCCCGGACACGUCAGUCCCCAGAUCUGCAGUGAUGUCGCCCGGCUCUGACGAUGGCGCACAGCCGCCGUGUCCGCGGUCUCCGUCGCCGCCGCGGUAUGCGGCGCUGGGCGGCGACUCGUACAUGUCGCGGUCUCGCCAUUGGGGGCCGAACGAUUCGCGGCUCCCGCCGACCCCGCCGGCGACGAGUUUCCUCCGGCGAGUCCUGCGCCGUCUGGCGUGGUCGACGCUGCCCGGGAGGUUCCUGGCUGGCAAGCUGCUGCUGUGUCUACCGACGCACAGAGUUUUGUCGUGGCUGUGCUGUCCGCGGCCGUGCUCCACGGUUGCGACGUCUGCGGCCAAGCUGCCCGCUGCUGAGCUCCGCGGCCGAGCUGCCAGCGGCCGUGCUCUGCGGCCGUGCUCUGCGGUCGUGCUCUGCGGCCGUGCUUCCCGUGGCUGGGCCCUCCGUGGUCCCGUGAUCGUGGCCGCGGCGAGGGUGCCGCGACCUGCGCGAUGCCGUGCGCUGCAGUGAUGGCGCCGCGCACUGUGCAGUGAUUUUGCCGAGCGCUGCGUACGCGGUGGGUGCCGCGCGCCGCGCUGUUGAGCGUGCCGUAUUCGGACGGUGGCUGCCGCGCGCAGCGUGGUGAUUGCUGCGCUCUGCCAUGAGUGCCGCUCACUGCCGUGGCCUGAGUGCCGCGCUCGGACGGAGUGCCACGCGCCGUUGUGUUGCGUCGCCUUCUGCCUUUUGAUAUGUGCUAUCUCCGAAUUUAAUGUUGCUUGUUGCCGAUGUUCGCUUCUUUUCGUUAAGAGGGUCGGGUAUAGUCGGUCGAUUUAUUCGCACCGUUUGAUUUCGUACCGGCUUCUCUUCUGUUUCUUAUUGUUUUCUGCGAUGUCACUUGUCCGAUUUUAUAUCUGAUUAAUUCACGUCACUUAAGUAUUUAUUUUAUAUUGUCAUAAUAACUUACGGCGCUGUUCCUUUAUUUUCUGUUUAGUUGCAGCCCUAGUACCUUAAUUUCCGAUGUCUCUUCGGUUUGUUGUCGCUCGCAUGUUCAGAGAGUCCUGGUUGGCCGGCGCGAGCGGCGGUUGUGGAAUACAAGCUCGUCUGUGAA
rnacentral:lncRNA from 1 species